UAGCCCGUCCCAUUAUAUCUGCAGCCAAUGCCAGGAGAGAGAAAAGAAGGGAGCCUGGCUCAGUCAAGGGCUGACUGGCGAAGAGGCAGGAGCUCUCUGUAUGCCUGCCUGAAGCCUGAAGAACUGUUCUGAGAAAACAGAUAAGCCUCGCAACACAUCCUCAUGGACAAAAACUUGGGCUCUGCUGGACAAACUGAAUCUAGAGGAUGUAGUUAUUCAUGUUUAGAACACGUUUGAUCAGGGACAUCAACAAGCUUCAUAUACCUUUACAUUUCACAAUGUGCACAGCAAGAACAAC